UGGGAGGCCACAGCAUCUGUUGAAGUCUCAAAUUAAGAAACAAAGAAUGGAAAGUGGUGGGAGGAAAAAACUGAGUUGGAAUAUUAUUUGAGUGAGGCAGUAGUUGAAGAGGAAAAUUCAUUUGAUAUACUGAGGUGGUGGAAGGUUAACUCUGGUAGAUUUCCUAUCCUUUCUAAGCUUGCUAGGGAUGUCUUAGCUAUACCAAUCUCAACUGUUGCCUCAGAGUCUGCCUUCAGUACAUCUGGGAGGGUUUUAGAUCCUUUUAGGAGUUCUUUAACUCCUAAAAUUGUGGAAGCCUUGGUUUGUACCCAAGAUUGGCUUAGGCUGCCAAAUACCCCUAUAUCAGUUGAGGAAAAUCUAGAAGAAUUAGAAAGAUUUGAGAAAGAAUUUACUGUUGAGGGAUGG